ensembl:lncRNA
UCAAAUUAAUUGGCUAACAUAAAAAUUAAUUUAAAAUAUACAAAAUGGUAAGCUUUUUUAGAAUAGUUUGCAAGAGCAUAAAUAUAAACACAAGUCUAUAAAAGUGGACUGUUGAGUAGUUUAUUGUCUCUGACAACCUAAAAACAUAAAAGCUUAAAUUAAUUGUAAACAAUGCUUAUUUGCCAUUUAGGAGACUGUUGACAAGCAAGGUCUGGUGUGGAUGUUGAAGGAAGCACUUAAUAAGCUGAAGGACACAGCAGUCAGCUAUACCAACAAAGCAGCUCUGUGUAAGUCUAUAUUGUUGGCAAUUCUGUUAUACUUUGGUUUUUUAUGAAAGUUAGUGCUUUUUCCUGUAAUUUUAUCUGAUUUACCCUCUCUCCUUUGUUUGUUUUUUCAGCUGACGACUCACCUGUGGUUAACAGGCAGGUAAAAGAGGCAGAUAGUGAGGCGGGAGUCAGUACAGAAGCUGCAGAAGCAGUAAGAUCCACCAUGGAACGUGUUCUGGCUGCAUGGGAGUCCUACAGAGACUGCCUGUAUCUAUUACAGGUCUGGCUGGGGCAGGAGAAACAAUCAGAGGCUCAAGAGGUACUAUUAAGUAUUUGUCAUUAAAACACAUGCUACAAAGUAUACAGUGACCCAAAAAGUGUUUGAACACCUAAGUAUGAAUGUCAUUUAGUUAUCUUUGUUGAGAUGUUUGGUAAUUUCAAGUCAUGAGGUGAGGGCACGAUGUUUGUAUGUGGUUGCUUUUUUUAGAAGUUAAUUUGUCAGUUGUCUUGUGAUCUCUUUCAUAAUACAGCACAAGCAUUUUUCCUCCAGCCUGAAUGAGUGGAGAUCACGUCAAGCCCAGCUGAACGAGGCGGGAAACUUUCUCAUUGAGAUGAGUGAGGCCUCCACCAGCCACUCUCUGACCGAAGAGCUCCGCAAACUGAACAUGCAGUGGGCUGACUUCAUAAAAAGGACCAAGUUUGCAGUGGCCCCUCAGCCCAUCUCUGCAGUCGCAGGUGUCCAGGCUUCCCUGAUGCAGGAAGCCAGCUGGGUGCUUAGAGAGACAGUUGAGGUGUUAUCUGGACCUCUACGUAUUUACAGAAAGAAACUCCAGGGCAUAACUAAGAAGAUGUCUGAGUUCAAGCUGAACUCUUUGUCUCCAUCUCCAGACUGCAAAGAGGAAACUCUUCAGAAAUUCAGACAAACUCUUCCAGAGGUCAGGCAAUAUUUAGGUUAAACGUAUAUUAAUUGUAGAUGUGAGAAACCAAUUUACUUGCUCUAAGUUAUUCCGUGGAACACACAAAUAUCUGUGAUAAAGAAUCUCCAUGAGUCAUUGAGUCUGUGAGUGAACAAAUCAGUCUUAUAAAUAUCCAUUUAUUUUAAAUAGGGCUGUCACAAUCAUAUAUUUACUUAACUGAAUUAUUUUUCUGAAUUAUGGCUAAAAGAAUUCACAAUAACAAUACUAUUACAACGUCUACAGAAACUUUAUGAAUAAUGUGACAAAAUUAAAUUCUGCCAAAAUUAAAUAAGGCUAUCAGUCAAAUUUAUCUUUAACUUUUAUUUUGUACUUUCACGAAAAAGGUGUGUUGGGAGACAGAGAUAGUAUUUGUAACAAUAACUUUACAAAAGUGUGCAAAAACAACUGUUGAUCGUCACUUCUUGCAGAAUGAGGGUCUUACACCCAAACCAACUUUUUUACAGAAUCCAAAAAACUCUUACACUGGGAAUCUUUAUUCUGGUAGACUGUCUCUCUUUCAUUUUUCAUCUACAAGAUUUUGUGUGUAGUAGUAGCUAAAUACUGUGCCAUUGUUUUUUUUUUUUGUUUUUUUUUUUCAUUUUAUGACAGGAGGCAAACAGAUUUAAGGUUCAGUACUGCCAUCUAUGUUGGAGUGUCUACCAACGCUCUAAACACUCUCUGUCUCUAAUGAAAAUAAUUGAUUUAACUAGGUACUGAACAAAUCUGUGGACAUGUUUCUUGGCAGACACUUGAGACUUUGACCAAGGUGGAUCAGGUGUGUGAGAGACUCCAGAAAUCUGCAUCUCUGCUUGAGGGCAGGCUGGCUGAGCUUGAAAACUGGUGCAAUGAAGUCCAAGAGGUCUGCCACCACCUAAAAGAAAAGCAGCAGAGGGGCCACCGGGGGCCACAUCCCAGUGCUAAAGUGAGCACAAUUAACUAAGUUACUGAGUUCAUUUGGUUGAUUAAAACAGCGCUUUUACAUUGUUGUCUCUUCCGAUUC